GGGGGCGAAUGGGCUCGACGGGGGUUAUGAGGCUCAUGCGGCAUGUCGUGGCUCCAUCACCACGUAAAAAGAUGGAAACAAACACAAACGCCAACAACGAACUGGCACUCGCUGCUUAACUAAGCAGCGCGCCCCUUCGGGACCGCCUGUGGCCCGGGGAAGGCGUCAAUCAGCAGGCUGGUCAAAGGGUGCGCUCCCGGCCCUGAGACGAGACUAAGGGAGAUGGGAUUCCGGGAUGCCUGGCUGACGGCGGUCCGGAGUCCGAGACAGAAGUAGACAGCCUACACAUGUAGAAGCAUGAGAGUAGUGCCUUCGGACGCGGGUUCGAUUCCCGCCGCCUCCACCA
rnacentral:tmRNA from 1 species